rnacentral:rRNA from 1 species
AUUGAACGCUGGCGGCAGGCCUAACACAUGCAAGUCGAGCGGUAGAGAGAAGCUUGCUUCUCUUGAGAGCGGCGGACGGGUGAGUAAUGCCUAGGAAUCUGCCUGGUAGUGGGGGAUAACGCUCGGAAACGGACGCUAAUACCGCAUACGUCCUACGGGAGAAAGCAGGGGACCUUCGGGCCUUGCGCUAUCAGAUGAGCCUAGGUCGGAUUAGCUAGUUGGUGAGGUAAUGGCUCACCAAGGCGACGAUCCGUAACUGGUCUGAGAGGAUGAUCAGUCACACUGGAACUGAGACACGGUCCAGACUCCUACGGGAGGCAGCAGUGGGGAAUAUUGGACAAUGGGCGAAAGCCUGAUCCAGCCAUGCCGCGUGUGUGAAGAAGGUCUUCGGAUUGUAAAGCACUUUAAGUUGGGAGGAAGGGCAUUAACCUAAUACGUUGGUGUCUUGACGUUACCGACAGAAUAAGCACCGGCUAACUCUGUGCCAGCAGCCGCGGUAAUACAGAGGGUGCAAGCGUUAAUCGGAAUUACUGGGCGUAAAGCGCGCGUAGGUGGUUCGUUAAGUUGGAUGUGAAAUCCCCGGGCUCAACCUGGGAACUGCAUUCAAAACUGACGAGCUAGAGUAUGGUAGAGGGUGGUGGAAUUUCCUGUGUAGCGGUGAAAUGCGUAGAUAUAGGAAGGAACACCAGUGGCGAAGGCGACCACCUGGACUGAUACUGACACUGAGGUGCGAAAGCGUGGGGAGCAAACAGGAUUAGAUACCCUGGUAGUCCACGCCGUAAACGAUGUCAACUAGCCGUUGGGAGCCUUGAGCUCUUAGUGGCGCAGCUAACGCAUUAAGUUGACCGCCUGGGGAGUACGGCCGCAAGGUUAAAACUCAAUGAAUUGACGGGGGCCCGCACAAGCGGUGGAGCAUGUGGGUUUAAUUCCAAGCAACGCGAAGAACCCUUACCAAGGCCUUGACAUCCAAUGAACUUUUCAGCAGAAUGGAUUGGCUGGCCUUCUU